rnacentral:misc_RNA from 1 species
UACGGAGGGUGCAAGCGUUAAUCGGAAUUACUGGGCGUAAAGGGUGCGCAGGUGGGUAUAUAAGUCAGAUGUGAAAGCCCUGGGCUUAACCUAGGAAUUGCGUUUGAAACUAUAUAGCUAGAGUGUGGCAGAGGGGAGUGGAAUUCCAUGUGUAGCAGUGAAAUGCGUAGAGAUGUGGAAGAACACCGAUGGCGAAGGCAGCUCCCUGGGUUAACACUGACGCUCAUGCACGAAUGCGUGGGGAGCAAACAGG